UGCACUCACUACUGUAAGUCGCUCUGGGUAAGAGCGUCUGCUAAAUGACUCAAU
rfam:Salmo salar isolate Sally breed double haploid chromosome ssa17, whole genome shotgun sequence.